CGGCUCCUGGUAAGGGUGAGAGGGGCGACCUACUGCCUUGGUGCUGAGAAUGGACACUCAUCUGGAGCCACAAGGAUGUAAGCUACCCCUAUCACCUGGUACCUGAGGCUCUUCCCCUGUAGCUGCGUUCUCAGCAACCUGGUGUAUGGUUUGAUGAAUGAAACGACACACGGAGUCCCCAUGGAGAUGAAAGACUGUGUGCUAAUGAACACUCAGCACUGCCGUGGACAGACAGAUGCCCCUGAAGCUCAGGAAAGAAAUCUGCUCACCAUGUGGGUGGCUCCUGUUGCUGUGACAGAUGAGGGUAACGGAAGGAAGGUUCAUGCUGGACACAGCUUAAGGUCAGUCUACCAUGGUAGGGAAGGCAUGGCAGGAGGGUGAGGUGGGCGUCACACGGCCUCCAGAAGCAUGGAGAAAUGAAUGCUAGUCUUAGCUGAUGGGUUAAAGAUGUGACACCCUCAUUCAGGUUGGGUUUCCCACCUCAAUUAACCCGCUCUAAACCUCACAGACACAGUCAGAGAUCCAUUUCCAUAUAAUUCUAAAGCUUGUCAGGUUGACAACAAAGAUGAACCCUCACAAGUUCACCCCUUGCCAGCCUGACAC